GGCGAUCAUGCCAAAUCAUAAAAUCAUUGGGAUUAGUAGACUUCUGGUCUUCAAGGUGAUACAUUUCAGCUGCACUUAUUUUUGUAUAAUAUAAACCAGAAGAUAGAGAAAGCAACUUUUCUAAUACGUAUUUCUUCUCAGAAAUGAUAUUUGUAAUUAAUAAGUAUUCACCAUUUGUCUCAUUCAUCAUCUCGAUAUGAUAUCCAUUUCGAUGGAUAUCUUUAAAACUUAGCAAAUUUAUUCGAGACUUUAUCGAGAGUAGUGCAUUAUUUAUGAUAAUUUUAGUUCCUUCGUGGAGAAACACAGUGGCUCUUUCGGAGCCAUCAAUCAAUUUAGCACUACCACUUAUUGUGUUAACAUUUGUUUCUUCUAUUUUAAAUGAGAAAAAUACUUCAUAUUUUUAAGUAUAGCGUGUGUAGUAGCACUAUCAAUGAGACAAGUAUUAUCAGCACCAUUGUUUGAUCCCAAAUAUUUGACAUCCAUUUAUUUUUCAGGAAGAAAUGACAAAGAAAAUUACAAAUAAAAGUAAAUAUCAAUAAAGUCCAUAAAUUACAAAAUUCAUAAAGAAAAUUACAUAAAAGAUGCGAAAAUAACAAAAUUCAAAAUGUCGGGUAUUUAUCAUGGGAUCAUUUCGCAACUUCAGGUUGCUCAAGGAAAUCAGCUACAUCGAGGUGUGUGAUAUCAUCAAGAUCAUCAUAAACAUUAUUUUGAUUAAUAAAAUUUGUCUCAGUAUUUUUGCCUUUCCCUUUUAAUGAUGCCUGAUAGAGGUCAACAAAAUGUUUUGUCGUACGACAAGUACGGGACCAAUGACCUUCUAUUGCACACUGGUAGCAAAUUUCCUCAUAAUGUUUCUUUUCUUCACUUUUCUUAUCAUUAUUGUCCCAUUUCUGGGAGUUGUUUUGUCUUCUGCCAUGACUAUGAUCAAUGUGAUUAUAAGGCGCAUAUCUGCCACGACCUCAUCCACGAUAACGACUACAUCCUCGGCCUCCUCCACAGCCAUGUCCACGCUCACGACCAUGAUUUUAAGAUUUAGUUGUAUUCACUUCAGGGAAUGGGCUAGAACCAGUAGGUCGGGAUUCAUGAUUUUUCAAUAAUAAUUCAUUAUUUUAUUCAGUCAAAAAGAGGCAUAAAAUCAAUUCAGAGUAUUUCUUAAAUCCUCUCUUCGAUAUUGCUUUUGCAUGAGCAUAUUCGAGGUAUGAAAGGUGGAGAAUGUUUUUUCUAACAUAUCAUCAUCAGUAACAUUUUCUCCAUACAAUUGCAAUUGAGAGGUAAUUUUUAUACAUUGCAGAAUUAUACUCACUGAUUGAUUUAAAAUCUUGUAGCCUUAAGUGAAGCCAGUCAUACCAGGCUUUUGGGAGCACGACUAACUUCAGAUCAAAGUCAUUUCAAGUUUAUCAAUGUGGAUGGAUCCGUGAAGUUGCAAAAAUGAGCUUCACAAUCGAAGAACCAAAUCAACUACAAUCGACAUCCAAUGCAUGCAGCUUGAUUUCCAUUAGUUUUCAGACAGCGAAACUAAAGAAACUCAUUUUCUCUGCAUGAGGACACACAUAACGAAUCAAGACACGCGAACAAGCUACAAAUCGUCAUGAAACAAAGAAGCACGAAGCAAACACUCGCCAAGAGGGUGGUUCUGGUUAAGGUGGGGAGGAUGAGGAACAGCUUGGCGUGUGAGGGGUAGCCUUUUCAGUUGUGCGUGCAUUUUGAUUGUACUCUGAAUGUUUACAAAUCGUCAUGAUAAUUUGUGGGAAUGAUUAUUUUUCUUUCACUAGUGUCAUGAUUAUUAAUGGGAAGGAUAAUUUGUGAGAA